AAUUAACAUGUAAAUUACAUAAAACCGGUAAGACGGAAUAAAUUCUAUGAGAUAAAAUUAUCUCGCAUUGGCAAGCAUUGGUGAUGUGAUGCAUAGUAAAAAUGACCGCCAAAAAUUAGGUACUGCCAUGCGCUAAAUUCAGAGAGCUGUAUUUUUUUUUUUUUUAAUACAAACUAAAAAAAAUUCGAACAUUACCACAAAUUUUAACAAUUCAUUAGAAACAAAAAAUUAACUAUUAUCUUCUUUGAUAUUUUUCGUCCAAUGAUAUAACGAGGAAAACUGAUUUUUUUUUUAAUUCAAGCUGUGCUUCUCGCAAAAAGGAAGCAUUUUCGAAAAAGUUAUGUUCCUGUACAUCCUGUUCCUGUGUCCGUUAGCCGUUAGGGAAUCGCAAAUAAGGAAUCCCCGAAUACUGUACUGCGCAGAGUGUAUUUGGGCGUAUUUCCGUUGCCUCUAUUCACAAGCUUUUGUUAUUUUCUGACGCUGCUUUGCUCGAACGACUCGAACCAAGAGACUCUGUAGAGUUUGUUACAUAGCGUUACAUAGUAUUUCCUCAAAAUUCGUUCGACUUUCGAUAAAAAAGCACGGGCAACAACGCAAACGAUACCAAGUAAAAAUAAUUGUGCAUCAAAAAUUAUAAUUGUUCAGUGAAUGUAUUCGUUUCCAAAUCGAUUAAAAGUGUUGUAUUAAAAGCGGUGAAACAAAGACAAGCUUUAUUUCACACAAUAAAAACGAAACAACGGAACAUUAGCAUUUUCACAGUGCGACUACAAAUUGAAAGUACAAUAUGUCUUGCCGGGAAAUGGAAAAAUUUUCAAUCGCAGAAAAUCCAGAAACUGCUUUAGACCGAUGGAGAACAUGGAUGAGAUCAUUCAACUUUUUGAUGGAAACUAAAAACUUAUCCAUACAAACUCGCGAUGCAUUCCCGUGGUUGUUUCAUUUAGCAGGAGAAGAGAUUCAAAACCUUGCUGAGAAAAAUGGUUUUUUUGAUGACCGACUUCGCUUUUUCAACUAUGCAGAGACAAUACGUACUAUGAUAGAGCUGGAGGCAAAAAGGCUAGUAAAAUUAAAGUCUCGAAUCUGGUAGGCACCAUCUUUGUUAACGAAAAUGCAGUUUCGACGAGUAUUUCACUGCAUUGAGGAAAGCAAAGAGUUCAGCGAUAUCUACAAAAGAAAAAGACUACAAAAGCAGAGAGAAACAACAUCUAACACUUUUUUAAAGAUUUUUAUAACAUCUGAUGCUGGGAAACCUUAUUAUUGCAGAACUGUCCGUCAAAUCCAUAUUUGUCUUUAACAGUAAUGUCUCAUACUGCUAAGAAACUGAUUGAUGUUUGAGAGUUUAAAAACUACUGUAACCCACUAAAUUGAUACUCUGAAUUAAAAAAUAAUGUUGAAUGUAA